rnacentral:rRNA from 1 species
UACGGAGGGUGCGAGCGUUGUCCGGAAUCACUGGGCGUAAAGGGCGCGUAGGCGGCUCGAUAAGGCUGUGGUGAAAGCCCGGGGCUCAACCCCGGGUCGGCCGUGGCGACUGUCGGGCUGGAGCACUGUAGAGGCGGGUGGAAUUCCGGGUGUAGCGGUGGAAUGCGUAGAGAUCCGGAAGAACACCAGUGGCGAAGGCGGCCCGCUGGGCAGUGGCUGACGCUGAGGCGCGACAGCGUGGGGAGCAAACAGG